AGGUCAUGGACUACAAAAUAACCUAUUUAGUCGAAACUUCCCCAAAUGACUUGUGAUAUGAAGCAUCUUGCUGGAAAAAGAAAUUUCCUACUGAUUACUUGCCCAUUCCUACACAUGUGGAUGGAAUAGAAAGUGUGAACACAGGCUGUGGGGUUUGGCAGGAGUUCUUUUGUUAAUUCUGUAAUUUUUUUCCCCCAUUAGAGCAUGUUUUAAGUGUUCUGUUAAUCAGGAAAUACAUAAAAUAGGUGAAUAAAGUUCCUAAUGUUCAAUGAGAACUUAACAAUUUGACAACUGUUUUAUUCCACAGAUAUCUGAAAAAUUUCUAACAGUAUGAUCAGCUCAUUUCACUUUCAUAUUUAUCACUCUUUUAUCUUACUUGGUGUUUCCUAGGCUGAAGGUUUUAAUUUCCUUCCUAGCCUCCAAGUAUUUUCUUAAAUCCACAGCCUUCACCUUUUGGGGUGUGUUCCUGGCCAGAAUGGUUUCACUUGGACUUGUUUCAACCCACAUGUCUCUAUUGACUAGGUGGCUUCAGAUUCUGGGCAGACAUGGAUACAGCACUCUCCACUUUGUUCCAGGGAUCAUCCAAAAUGUGAAAAUAUAUGCUAUUAUGUGCACUGUGGUUUCUCAAUGCUUCGACAUAUUUAAACAUGAGAUUAACCCGUGUUUCGAUGCAUCAUAACUCGACAUAUGUCACAAAUGAAUAAUUAUGUGUAGCUGCUAUAGCAACUCUUACCAAUUUCCCCAGCACACGCCCUUCUUGGAAGGCAUUCUAGGCAGAUGCAUUAUUCCUGUUUCUUUAUGGUGUUUCUUAUUUCUUUAAAUCCGUCUAUACCCCAAUCUGUCCAGUAUCUUAACUGAUUACUUGUAUCAUUGCAAAUCUCUUUAUUAACUACAAAAUCAUAUCACCUCUAGAAACUAUCUUAUUUCUAAACAACAUAUAAACAAUAUCAAUUAAUCUUUGAUCACAUUACUGCAAGAUCCUGCCAAUUAUUAUUGUUUUUUUUGCCUUUAGAUAAAAAGCAAAACAAAGAGGGGGGUCUGGCUGACUCAAUCAGAAGAGUGCACAACUCUUGAUCUUGGGGUUGUGAGUUUCAGCCCCACGUUGGGCAUAGAGACUACUUCAAAACAAAAACUUAAAAAACAAAAAGAAUGCCUGUUUUUAAAAUCUGUUUUAUACUCUGAUUCCUGACAUUUAAAUAUCUUUAAAAAUGUUAAAAUGGCUCUUAAAAAUUCCUUCAAAUAAUCUUUUUGCAGGUAUAAUGUAGCCCAUGUUUCAUUAAGAUAAUGUAAGAUUCUGGAUGCCAGAAACUUGAUUAUAACAGUCAGGUAAAGUCUACCAUAUUUGGAUAUUAACCACUUGAAGGGAUGUGUUAAUUCCUAUUUAACCGGGACUUCAUAAUGGCAGAAGAUUAAACCUAGUACAUACUGCAAGAAAAAGUAUGUACAGUUUAUUAUACAAAUUUAAAUACAAGUACUCAUAGAGACUAUACACUGGUUACCAUUUUCCACUUACUCCUCCUGAAGAAACUGGUAUUAAUUUUUAAUUAGGAAAUCAUUCUAUUCCAGUGUGGAAUACUGCUCAUUGUCCCAAAGUUUCUAUGCUGGGAUGUUCGCUUCUUACUUCAGGGAUUAUGUUACCAUAUUUCAGACACUACAAUGCAAUUAUAUGAGGAACAAUUGUUGAAUACUGAAUCUUUAUCAGCUGAUUUCUAUGGAAGGCUUCCAUUCUUUGUAAUAAUACUCUCUGGCUGACCGUGUUAGUGCGAUGCUUUGGUUCAGGGUCCAAUUGGAGCACGCUGCUUGACAGUCCCAUUUGAAUCAACAGUCUUGGCUUUGGAGAACAGAAGAUAUUUUAAAUUCAUUUUAGCUGGACGAGUCAAUUUCUGCCUGAAAAAUCUGAAAUAUGGGUACUAGGGUCUUGUACAUCAUCAUUAAACAUACUCUUUAGCAGCUGGAACUCAAGGAAUUACUUUCUUUUAAAAAAUUUUUUAAAAUUUUAAAAAAGAUUUUAUUUAUUUACUUGAGAGAGAAAGAGAUUGAGACAACUAGUGAGAGGAGGGGCAGAGGGAGAAGCAGACUCCCUGCAGAGCAGGGAGCCCAAUACGGGACUCAUACCAGGAUCCCAGGACUGCUUAACCAACUGAGCCACCCAGGUGCCCAAGGAAUUACUUUCUAAUCAAUUUAUAUUUACUAUUUUCUUGGUUACACUGAGACUUAAUAAAUGUUUC
ensembl:lncRNA